rnacentral:rRNA from 1 species
GACGAACGCUGGCGGCGUGCUUAACACAUGCAAGUCGAACGGAAAGGCCCUGCUUUUGUGGGGUGCUCGAGUGGCGGACGGGUGAGUAACACGUGAGUAACCUGCCCUUGACUUUGGGAUAACUUCAGGAAACUGGGGCUAAUACCGGAUAGGAGCUCCUGCUGCAUGGUGGGGGUUGGAAAGUUUCGGCGGUUGGGGAUGGACUCGCGGCUUAUCAGCUUGUUGGUGGGGUAGUGGCUUACCAAGGCUUUGACGGGUAGCCGGCCUGAGAGGGUGACCGGCCACAUUGGGACUGAGAUACGGCCCAGACUCCUACGGGAGGCAGCAGUGGGGAAUAUUGCACAAUGGGCGGAAGCCUGAUGCGGCAACGCCGCGUGCGGGAUGACGGCCUUCGGGUUGUAAACCGCUUUCGCCUGUGACGAAGCGUGAGUGACGGUAAUGGGUAAAGAAGCACCGGCUAACUACGUG